CUUUUCUGUUUCCAUACCAUAGUACCAUACAACCUUUGAUUCCAAACCAUAUAGUCACAUGAUGAGAAGAUUCUCUGGAGGAAGACUUUGAUUGGCUUUGAUGCUCUAUUAUCUUCUUAAUUUAGUCUUAAUUUUUAUUCGGCUUCUGAAACUGCUCCUCUGCUUGGGAUUGUAAUAACUAGAUGUUUUGGCCAAUGAAAGGGCGAAAAGAACGAAAGACUAGGAAUGAACACAAAGCGCACGGACCAGAUUGUCUUUUAAGAGUGAUGAUUGAGAACUCAGCUGGCCUCCCUUGUUGCCGCAAACGCCGUCAACUGUAAACGCAUUGGCACUCUCGGUAUUUGAAUCUCAUGCAUCCCGGUGAUGUUAUAACUUGUGUCUAAGAUGCCGGCCCACCGGCCAUCAACCAAUUUUUCUUUCAUUAGCACUGGCAUAUUGGGCUAGCUAGGUGAAAUGUUUUACUUAUUGUCGCACUGGGCCAUUAGAAAUUUUAUUUUGCAUGUACGUAUAACACUGUUUGAUAGUUAAGGAGUAUAAUCGAAAUUACGACUCUUCUGAACAAUACAUUAAUUGAAUUCUUAAAUACCAUCAAGAUCAGCUGCAACAUUACAUGGAACUUAUUCUACUGCAC